rnacentral:rRNA from 1 species
UACGAAGGGGCUAGCGUUGUUCGGAAUCACUGGGCGUAAAGCGCACGUAGGCGGAUCUUUAAGUCAGGGGUGAAAUCCCGAGGCUCAACCUCGGAACUGCCUUUGAUACUGGGAUCUCGAGUCCGGGAGAGGUGAGUGGAACUGCGAGUGUAGAGGUGAAAUUCGUAGAUAUUCGCAAGAACACCAGUGGCGAAGGCGGCUCACUGGCCCGGAACUGACGCUGACGGUGCGAAAGCGUGGGAGCAACAGGG